CCCCAAGCUGGGCUGAUUUACAUAGUGGGCAGCUCUCUCCAGCAAGGGGAUAAGAGAGGCCUGGGGGGAAGCCACCCAGCCUUGGCCUCAGGAAGGAGCAUUCAGGGCACCUCUGCCAUGGCCUGGACCACGCUCUUCAUUGGCCUCCUUGCUCACUGCACAGGCUCUGUGGCCUCCUACGUGCUGACGCAGCCAUCCUCAGUGUCAGUGACUCCAGGACAGACAGCCAGGAUGACCUGCGAGGGAAACAACAUUGGAAGUAGAAAUGUGCAGUGGUACCAGCAGAAGCCAGGCCAGGCCCCUGUGCUGGUCAUAUAUGCUGAUAAGAACCGGCCCUCCGGGAUUCCUGACCGAUUCUCUGGUGCCAACUCUGGGAACACGGCCACACUGACCAUCACUGGUGCCCAGGCUGAGGACGAGGCUGACUAUUACUGUCAGGUGUGGGAUAGUAAUGAUGCUCACAGUGAAACAGACACAUGGGGAAGUGAGACACAAACCCACCACCCGCCUUGCUCCCACGGCCCCUCCCUGUCCUGGCAACAGAGACAAGACAGAGGCUGCCACAUAGAGACAAAGUUUCUAGCCUGCCCAGCUGGGACACCAGAUUCCUGAAAUAAGGGGGCAGGG